GAACUACUCUUCUACUGUUUGAAGAACACAUAGGUGAUUGUUGUACUUGCUGUGGAUUGAAGAUAGAUGAUCGUAAAGAUGAUUUGGUUCCUUGUCAUGUUUGUAUGAGGAAAUUCCACAAAAAUAACUAUUGUGUUGGAGAAGAAAUUGCUAAACAGUCAUCCGUUCAGUACUUUACAUGCAAAGAUUGCCUAAUGAAGUCAAAUGAAUGAAAAUGAUGAUAUAGGAGA